rnacentral:lncRNA from 1 species
AUAAUUUUGGGCACUUGACUAUCUAUACUCAUUUGAAGUCUUCGACUGCUUAUCCAAGUUUGAACUCCUAUCAAGAGGGCAAAUAUUCUCUAAAUCGAUAUCGUAGAUCGGGAUGUAGUGCAGCUUGGCAGCGUCUUUGCUGGUAAAAUAUUUCACGGUUUCCAAUUCUAUCAUCCGCACCUAUUCUUCUCCUCUGGGACUGGUUGGAAGCGAUGGAUUCCAAUUUUGAAAAUAGA